rnacentral:rRNA from 1 species
CACUCCUACGGGAGGCAGCAGUGGGGAAUAUUGCACAAUGGGCGCAAGCCUGAUGCAGCCAUGCCGCGUGUAUGAAGAAGGCCUUCGGGUUGUAAAGUACUUUCAGCGGGGAGGAAGGCGAUAAGGUUAAUAACCUUGUUGAUUGACGUUACCCGCAGAAGAAGCACCGGCUAACUCCGUGCCAGCAGCCGCGGUAAUACGGAGGGUGCAAGCGUUAAUCGGAAUUACUGGGCGUAAAGCGCACGCAGGCGGUCUGUCAAGUCGGAUGUGAAAUCCCCGGGCUCAACCUGGGAACUGCAUUCGAAACUGGCAGGCUAGAGUCUUGUAGAGGGGGGUAGAAUUCCAGGUGUAGCGGUGAAAUGCGUAGAGAUCUGGAGGAAUACCGGUGGCGAAGGCGGCCCCCUGGACAAAGACUGACGCUCAGGUGCGAAAGCGUGGGGAGCAAACAGGAUUAGAUACCCUAGUAGUCCCA